UACGUAGGCAGCGAGCGUUGUUCGGAAUUACUGGGCGUAAAGAGUGUGUAGGCGGGUCUUUAAGUCAGGGGUGAAAUCCUGGAGCUCAACUCCAGAACUGCCUUUGAUACUGAAGAUCUUGAGUUCGGGAGAGGUGAGUGGAGCUGCGAGUGUAGAGGUGAAAUUCGUAGAUAUUCGCAAGAACACCAGUGGCGAAGGCGGCUCACUGGCCCGAUACUGACGCUGAGGCACGAAAGCGUGGGGAGCAAACAGG
rnacentral:rRNA from 1 species